rnacentral:tRNA from 1 species
UCCCAUAUGGUCUAGCGGUCAGGAUUCUUGGUUUUCACCCAGGCGCCCGGUUCGACUCCCCGGUAUGGGAA